GGGCAGAGAGGGAGCGGGAUGAGGGGGUGGGGGCCCACAGUCACCGCGAGCCUCCCCCCCCCCUCAAAGAUGAGGAGCUGUGAGGUUUCUGCAGGGGCGUUCAAAAGAACUACAGACACCAGGGAGAGUGGUGGGUACUGGGCACCCCUUUCACCUAUAAGGCUCCUAGAAAGUUUCUUAUGUAUGUUUGGUAAUCAUGAAUUUAAGAGCGGACAGGCUGAUCACACUAACAGUAAACUUUUUCACAUUAAAUAUACUUUUAUUUAUCCUAUUGCGAUAUGGCAGCAACGGCCAAACAACUUACACAUAUAAGAAAUCAAUACAAUCUAGUCCAGAAAUUAAUGUGUAAUACAUGGCAGUCAUUAGUAACACUAAUUAUUAGCAAAAAAAAAUUCUGUCUAGUGGAUGACAACUUCAAGAUGUUUCCUAUGCAGAGAAGCUGAUCACAUGUGUUGGUCGUCCAUUUCGUCCACAUAAACUCUUCUCAAGUUCUGAAGGUUCUGUCGCCUCUUCCACGCUCUUUAGUCAGUUCUUUACAUAAAUUUGCAUUUGGGUUCCGAAUGCAAAGUCCGUUGACUGACCGGGUCAGCCGCCUAAUGGGUUUCUUUUUGCUCCCUGAAACCAGCUCAGAGUUUCCAUGUCUGUGUGUUUGGCAUCAAUCUCUUGCUGAAAAAUCCAAUUCGGUUCCAUCUUCAGAUUAUUAUCAAGAAUGAUGCUGUAAUCCAUAAAUCCUUCCAUUAGUUACCUGACUGAAGACUGCAAUAAUUAGGACUGGAUUUGUGUGUAUGUCACUGAUUUUAAAUUUGUAUUCAUUUCUGGACAUAAUCUGGAUGUUUGCCUUCUUUUGCUCCUUGAGUCCUUGUUGUUGUUAGCUAUAAAUUGAUUUGAAUAAAAAUACUAACCAAGCGUUUUUAGGAUGAUGCGCAAUACCUUUCCACCUCAAAACAUUGAGUAUGAAGUCCACCCAUCCGUUCACCGUCUAUAUCCGCUUACCCUUGCAGGGAAGCGUGAUGGCUGGUGCCAAUCUCAAAAAAUCAACUCCAUUUCUGACAUUCCCCCUUCAUUGCAUCAUCCCAACAAUGCUUCUCCAAGAUGUCCAUUGUUCCACCAGGUGUUUGCUAAUUGCUGCUGCUGCUGCUAGUCUGGUGGAGCUUGGCUGGAGGCUGAAGCUUAAAGGCGGAGCUUUGCGUAAAUAGGUGGUGCAUUGUAUGACCAGCCGUUAAGGCGUCAGAUUCAAGGAUUUCUCAAACAUGCAUGAAUGAGUCAAAGCAACACUCCGUGUUUAGUGACAUUAUAACAUGAUGUGGAACUCAGAAAAGUAAAAUUUAUACAAUACUCCCCAAUUUAAGAGAUCACAAAAGUGGUUAAAGAGGUUCAGCCAAAUGCGGAGAGCGAGUCAGUGUGUUAUCGUCGACAUCAGUGUGGACUCCGGCCGAGGAGAGUCCAGUUUGUGAUUAUUGUUCAGAGGGGAAAUAAAAUGCACACUUUAACAGCCGUGGUUCAUUUCUGCCAGACCUCAAGCCAUGCCUUCUUCCAAUAAAGUUUGCUAAGUCAGCAAACACUGGCGGUAGAUAAUGACCGCUUUAUGAGCAUGGAAAAAAGCACCCACCAUGUAAUAGAGUUAUUUCAUUCAGUCUGUACAUGUUAGUUCAUAAAGUGAACAAACAGCGGACAUAAUCGUUAAGAAAACUGGCCUCUGGUUUUAUAAUGCACGCAUGAUGUAACUGAGCCUCGGGCACAUUAAAUAGUAUUUUUUUCUGUUUUAGGUUUGUUCCUCCCUUAUUAAAAUUGUUUGUGGAAGAAAUUAUGGAAUGAUAUACAGAGGUUUAUGUCUUGUCAACUUAACUUUUGACCAAAAGUUCUCAAAACUCUUCUAAAUUUGCACUAAAACUUUUGUUAAAAUUUUGAAUCUGACCUUGGCACCAACCAAUUCAUGUGAAUUCUCUUCACACUAGAUGAAUAAUUGGACAAGGCCCACAGCAUGUUCCUUUUAUUCUACUUCAUUAUUAUGAUUUAAAGCUUAACAACCAAUAUUGGAAAACCAAUUCAAGCAGCUAAGUCUUAAAGAGGCAUUCACAAUAUAAGCUCAAACAUUUCUAAAGAUAUUGGUCUAAAAUACCCGUUAAAGCCAUCACACAUUAAACCUACAUAGCUACCAUGGGUCCAUGUAGCCUAGCUUAACUCCAUUUGGGUCCCACAUGUAUGUUUCAGGCUAGGAAAAAAGUCAAAGGAAUUUACAUAUUAGUGUCAUUCAACCCAACACUUAUGUGUCUUAACAAGGUUUAUACACAACAUAUUUCCGUCAUUUCAGCAUAAGAGCCACAGAUUUUCAGCCAGGUCAAAGUCUGGUCUAUUCCAGAAGUCUGUCCUGUUGAAACAUCCAACCAUGUCCCAGUUUCCAUCCAGCUCUUGAUUUGAGGUUCAGUCCCCCUUUGUGUACUGCACCAGUAACCAUGGUAGCGCGCCAUCAAACUAACAUGGUCAACAGCUGGUUUAGAUUUCUAUCUUUGAAGGCACCCAUUGUGGAGCAGUGCCUCGUUUCUUAGUCAGCACAUUCAGUUCUUAGUGAUAUAAAACUGUAUUUUUUUUUUUUUUUUGGUCACAGAACACUGAGAAUCACAGUGAGAGAUUCUCAGAGACCAAAAGUUCACAGAGUAUCUCUGGUGUUAGACCAUUUCUCAUCGAGCUGUAAACCGAUUCUAAUGUACCCUGAAGGUCACGGUAGGAAUACAGCAACAGUGACAUCAUCUGCAAAAAGAGACCCUGGUUUUCUUUAACCCGACACUCUUCAUUAUGCCUUUAGAACCUCUCCAUGCUCACCACAAACACGACUGGAGACAAGGAGCAGUUCUGGCGGAGUCCAACCCACAGUAGCAAGAAGAUCAACUUUGUGUUGAGAAUGUUGUUUUGGUGAUGUAUGGACUGGAAAUCCCUUAAGUGUCCAAACACUCCAACAGCAACCCAAAUAAAAUCCCUGGAGAAACCUAGUAGGAAGCCUUCUUGAGAUAUAUAUUAAAGUUGUUAUUUUUUCCCCAAACUAUGAACAAAAAUGUUCUCUAAAACAAAAUACGCUCCAAAACAACGGCGCAUUGUGAGAACUGGUAAUCACAUAAUCACUGAAGGAUUGUAAAAUAUUUAUAGGAAAGCUGUAACUAUUGGGAAAAGCUGCAGGAUCAUUUCUAGGGCCAAAAUAUGUGAAGCAGAAAACGGUUUACUGUGUGCAUGAAGACAGGACUCCAAAAACUCCCAAGCCUCAAAAUGCUUAAAACAACAUGCUAUAAUUACUUCUACUUUUUCUUGUUUGAAAAUUAUUUCAAUGUUCAAGAAGUAAAAGAAAAACAAAUGUAGCAAAACCCAUAGCAGCAGCUUUUGUAUCCCUUCUUAAAAAACAGCUUUGUCUGUUUUAAAUGCUAGCCAGGACAAAUGUAAAUCUUCUCCCCCGCAUGAUAGUAAAACACCAGAGACAAAAUGAUAUGACAAGAGUUGUUUUUACUGAAUACCAAAAGUUUAUUUUAAAAAAAAGAAAUAAAUCAAAGUAAAAAAAAAAAAAGAAAGAAAGAAAAAGAAAAAAAGGGCCAUUUUUGAGGCUGACUGAUGGUAAUAAAGUUCAUCCUGAGGUUGUUCUGAGGCGAGACGAAG